rnacentral:rRNA from 1 species
UACGUAGGGUCCGAGCGUUGUCCGGAAUUAUUGGGCGUAAAGAGCUCGUAGGCGGCCUGUCGCGUCGGAUGUGAAAGCCCGGGGCUCAACCCCGGGUCUGCAUUCGAUACGGGCAGGCUAGAGUUCGGUAGGGGAGAUCGGAAUUCCUGGUGUAGCGGUGAAAUGACGCAGAUAUCAGGAGGAACACCGGUGGCGAAGGCGGAUCUCUGGGCCGAUACUGACGCUGAGGAGCGAAAGCGUGGGGGAGCGAACAGG